rnacentral:tRNA from 1 species
GGAGAGGUGGCCGAGCGGCUGAAGGCGCUCCCCUGCUAAGGGAGUAUACCUUAACGGGUAUCGUGGGUUCGAAUCCCAUCCUCUCCGCCA